AACGAACGCUGGCGGCAGGCCUAACACAUGCAAGUCGAACGCCCUAGCAAUAGGGAGUGGCAGACGGGUGAGUAACACGUGGGAACCUUCCCUAUAGUACGGAAUAUACCAGGGAAACUUGGAGCAAUACCGUAUACGCCCGAGAGGGGAAAGAUCUAUCGCUAUAGGAUGGGCCCGCGUAGGAUUAGCUAGUUGGUGAGGUAAUGGCUCACCAAGGCGACGAUCCUUAGCUGGUGAGAGACGACCAGCCACACUGGGACUGAGACACGGCCCAGACUCCUACGGGAGGCAGCAGUGGGGAAUAUUGGACAAUGGGCGCAAGCCUGAUCCAGCCAUGCCGCGUGAGUGAUGAAGG
rnacentral:rRNA from 1 species